GGCAGCAUCCUCAAAGCAAUGGCGGAAGGCGCCCAGCGUCGUCUUCGAUACUCCCCAUCUCCGCGGUGGAGUUUGAUCAGCUCAGGAUCUGCGAGGUCAGCCCCAAAGGCGACUCAGGGGAACUUUUAGGUGCUUUGCAUCGGGACAGACCUGCAGGACCAGGAUGAAGACCCUCUUCACUGUGCACAUUUAUACCUGAGGGGCCCCCAGAAGGAGGAGGAUCAGGAGGUGAAGUGACUUGCCCAAGGCCACCCAGAUGCUAAAUGAGGGAGCUUGUCUGGACUGCAGGUGUUCUGACCCAGAGGCAUCGAGGAAGAGCCAUGAGAGUUACCAGGGAGACUUUGGCUGUCUGCAACCCAAAGGAAGCGCUCUCAUCAGACACCAACCCUGCUGGCACCUUGAUCUUGGAUUUCUGCUCUGAGGAUCCGGGAGAAAAUAAAAAAUUCUAUUGUUGAAGCCAUGCAGUUUGUGCUAUUUUGUUAAAACUGCCUGAGCUGAUUAACAGUUGGGUCUCUCCUGGUGUUCUUUUGCCUUACUAUAAGUAUGACUAGACACAUGCCGUCACCCCAGCCUGAAAGGAAUCAUUAUCAUGG